rnacentral:rRNA from 1 species
UACGUAGGGCGCAAGCGUUGUCCGGAAUUAUUGGGCGUAAAGAGCUCGUAGGCGGCUUGUCACGUCGGUGUGAAGCCCGGGCUUAACCGGUCUGCAUCGAUACGGCUAGCUAGAGUGUGUAGGGAGAUCGGAUCUGUGUAGCGUGAAUGCGCAGAUAUCAGAGACACGUGCGAGCGACACUGCCACACUGACGCUGAGUGCGAAGCGUGUAGCAACAG